rnacentral:rRNA from 1 species
CCUGCGGAGGGAUCAUUACACAAAUAUGAAGGCGGGCUGGAACCUCUCGGGGUUACAGCCUUGCUGAAUUAUUCACCCUUGUCUUUUGCGUACUUCUUGUUUCCUUGGUGGGUUCGCCCACCACUAGGACAAACAUAAACCUUUUGUAAUUGCAAUCAGCGUCAGUAAGGGAAUUAAUACCCCCACCUUUCAACAACGGAUCUCUUGGUUCUGGCAUCGAUGAAGAACGCAGCGAAAUGCGAUAAGUAGUGUGAAUUGCAGAAUUCAGUGAAUCAUCGAAUCUUUGAACGCACAUUGCGCCCUUUGGUAUUCCAAAGGGCAUGCCUGUUCGAGCGUCAUUUGUACCCUCAAGCUUUGCUUGGUGUUGGGCGUCUUGUCUCUAGCUUUGCUGGAGACUCGCCUUAAAGUAAUUGGCAGCCGGCCUACUGGUUUCGGAGCGCAGCACAAGUCGCACUCUCUAUCAGCAAAGGUCUAGCAUCCAUUAAGCCUUUUUUUCAACUUUUGACCUCGGAUCAGGUAGGGAUACCCGCUGAACUUAAGCAUAUCAAUAAGCGGAGGAACGC